UUUCUACUCCCUCCGUCCGAAAAUACUUGUCAUCAAAAUGGAUAAAAAGAGAUGUAUCUAAAACUAAAAUACGUCUAGAUACAUUUCCUUUUAUCCAUUUUGAUGACAAGUAUUUCCGAACGAAGGGACUAUUUG
rfam:Triticum urartu cultivar G1812 contig970444, whole genome shotgun sequence.